AACGGUCUGCGGUGUUCGUGGUAUGGAAAAUUCGUAAUCCACAAAGUAACCAAAGGGAGCUUUCAGUCGGCGGAAAUAGGCAAGGUCUGGUUUGCGGAAAGUCCGAAGUUUCGCCGCUCGGCACCCACCUGCGAGAAGCGGGUUAAUACUUUUUCAUGCCACGGCACAGGCGGAUUUAAA
rnacentral:other from 1 species